CAAGAAGUAGUUUAAUCAGAAUAUCAGCUUUGGGUGUUGAUGGUAGGGAAAAUAUUCCUUCUUCUUGA
rnacentral:tRNA from 1 species